rnacentral:rRNA from 1 species
UACGUAGGGGGCAAGCGUUGUCCGGAAUGACUGGGCGUAAAGGGCGUGUAGGCGGCCGAUUAAGUCUGGAGUGAAAGUCCUGCUUUCAAGGUGGGAAUUGCUUUGGAGACUGGUUGGCUUGAGUGCGGAAGAGGCAAGUGGAAUUCCCAGUGUAGCGGUGAAAUGCGUAGAGAUUGGGAGGAACACCAGUGGCGAAGGCGACUUGCUGGGCCGUAACUGACGCUGAGGCGCGAAAGCGUGGGGAGCGAACAGG